UACGUAGGUGGCAAGCGUUGUCCGGAUUUACUGGGCGUAAAGGAUGCGUAGGCGGAUAUUUAAGUCAGAUGUGAAAUUCCCGGGCUUAACUUGGGAGCUGCAUUUGAAACUGGGUAUCUAGAGUGUGGGAGAGGAAAGUGGAAUUCCUAGUGUAGCGGUGAAAUGCGUAGAGAUUAGGAAGAACCCCAGUGGCGAAGGCGACUUUCUGGACCAUAACUGACGCUGAGGCAUGAAAGCGUGGGGAGCAAACAGG
rnacentral:rRNA from 1 species